GCGCUGUUCUCUCAUUGGAUUAAACUGCAGCAUAAGAGAAGCAACUGGAAAUCCCUCUCGAGUCUUUCCUCCUAUUUUCAGUGGUUUGUACGGCUGUGUGAGCAGAGCAGAACUGACUGUUGAGGAAAAAGCUGAAAGGUUGUUGGCUUCAAAGCGGUUCAAUAUGUCAGAUAAACACACAGCUCAAUGAACAGCUGGAAAACAGAGUAGAGACGGAGACGGGAGGCGAGGAAGGACAAAGAUGAAAAGGGACGAGAGGCAAAGAAAACAUGGAACAACAACAACAAAAUCCAGAUUAGGAUGAGAGGCGAGCUAAAAUGGAGAAAAACAAUAAUAUCCGAGAAGGCAGCAGCGAAGCUCCGAUACAUCAGGUCACUGCCGGCCGAUUAGCAGGAAGCUGAACACGUGAAGCCGAGACUCAGCCGAGGAGAAGGAAGGAAGUUUAAUGGAGCAAACAGUGAACAUCGAUGGUCCUCUGAUUGGCUUCCUGCAGCAAAAACAAGAAGCAACAUUUCUGUUUUUGCUCACCUGUUUGUGGAUCUGCUUGACAUUAAGGUGGUCGAACAGCUGUGGAGAGCAGCAAAGUUCUCCGACGCAAACAGACACCUGGACCAGGCAAGACAAACCACGGCGCCACCGAGAUCAAACAGGAAGUUGAAGAUCCAACAGAUGGGCUCUCCUCAUUAAACCAGCUGAAUUUCCAGUCUCUUACUGUUUGAGUGGAACAUCUCUGCAGCUCUGUUGUUCGUGCCAACACCCUCACCGCAGCAGCAGCCUCCUCUGCAGCGCUGCUGAUCAAUCUGGUCUCAAUCACCUGUUCAUCCGAGCGUGUGUCCUUAUCUGGGUUUGCUUUGGAGGACAUUGUUUUCUUAACUCAGUGUGUUUUAAAAGUAUAUUUCCAUCCAGAAAGAAAUGAAAAGAAGAAUAUUAAGGUGCAUCUUCCUAUAAAAGCAUAUUGCUGUUGCAGUGGAAAAUAUGUCUUUGAACUCUACCAGAUAAUAUUUUCCAGAUUAUGACAGUAGUGAGCUUUAAAAACAAUCCAAGCACUUACGCAAUAAGUUAAUGUUUUUUGUGUCUGAAUUAGAAUGUAAAGCCACAAAUCAGUCGGCACUCCCCGUUACCUAGCAACUACAGCUGAGCUCCAACACAUUUGGUCAGCUGGUUUUACCGCUGUGUGCGCAGUAAAAUGGUACACAAUUCGAAAGCCAAAAACCUUCG